AGCGCGACGGGUGAGUAACACGUGACUUAUCUACCCUCGAGUGGGGAAUAACUUCGGGAAACCGAGGCUAAUACCGCAUAAUACCCACGGGUCAAAGGAGCAAUUCGCUUGAGGAGGAGGUCGCGGCCGAUUAGUUAGUUGGCGGGGUAAUGGCCCACCCAAGACAGUGAUCGGUAUCCGGCCUGAGAGGGCGCACGGACACACUGGAACUGAAACACGGUCCAGACUCCUACGGGAGGCAGCAGUGGGGAAUUUUGCGCAAUGGGGGAAACCCUGACGCAGCAACGCCGCGUGGAGGAUGAAGUCUCUUGGGACGUAAACUCCUUUCGAUCGGGACGAUUAUGACGGUACCGGAAGAAGAAGCCCCGGCUAACUUCGUG
rnacentral:rRNA from 1 species